UAAGCAUAUCAAUAAGCGGAGGAAAAGAAACCAACAGGGAUUGCCCCAGUAACGGCGAGUGAAGCGGCAACAGCUCAAAUUUGAAAUCUGGCCCCUAGGGUCCGAGUUGUAAUUUGUAGAGGAUGCUUUUGGUGAGGUGCCGCCCGAGUUCCCUGGAACGGGACGCCGCAGAGGGUGAGAGCCCCGUCUGGCUGGCCACCGAGCCUCUGUAAAGCUCCUUCAACGAGUCGAGUAGUUUGGGAAUGCUGCUCAAAAUGGGAGGUAUAUGUCUUCUAAAGCUAAAUAUUGGCCAGAGACCGAUAGCGCACAAGUAGAGUGAUCGAAAGAUGAAAAGCACCUUGAAAAGAGGGUUAAACAGUACGUGAAAUUGUUGAAAGGGAAGCGCUUGUGACCAGACUUGGGCGCGGCGGAUCAUCCGGGGUUCUCCCCGGUGCACUUCGCCGCGUUCAGGCCAGCAUCAGUUCGGCGCGGGGGAAAAAGGCUUCGGGAACGUGGCUCCUCCGGGAGUGUUAUAGCCCGUUGCAUAAUACCCUGUGCUGGACUGAGGACCGCGCAUCUGCAAGGAUGCUGGCGUAAUGGUCACCAGCGACC
rnacentral:rRNA from 1 species